GAGUUUGAUCCUGGCUCAGAAUCAACGCUGGCGGCGUGCCUCAGACAUGCAAGUCGAACGCGAAAGUUCCCUUCGGGGAGCAAGUAGAGUGGCGCACGGGUGAGUAACACGUAGGUAAUCUACCUUCGGAUGGGGAAUAACAACCGGAAACGGUUGCUAAUACCGCAUAAUGCAGCGGCACCUAAUGGUAACAGUUGUUAAAGCGGGGGAUCGCAAGACCUCGCGUCUGAAGAGGAGCCUGCGGCGGAUUAGCUAGUUGGUAAGGUAAUGGCUUACCAAGGCGAUGAUCAGUAGCCGGCCUGAGAGGGCGCACGGCCACACUGGAACUGAAACACGGUCCAGACUCCUACGGGAGGCAGCAGUGGGGAAUCUUGCGCAAUGGACGAAAGUCUGACGCAG
rnacentral:rRNA from 1 species